GACGAACGCUGGCGGCGUGCUUAACACAUGCAAGUCGAACGGAAAGGCCCUGCUUUUGUGGGGUGCUCGAGUGGCGAACGGGUGAGUAACACGUGAGUAACCUGCCCUUGACUUUGGGAUAACUUCAGGAAACUGGGGCUCAUACCGGAUAGGAUCUCCUGCUGCAUGGUGGGGGUUGGAAAGUUUCGGCGGUUGGGGAUGGACUCGCGGCUUAUCAGCUUGUUGGUGGGGUAGUGGCUUACCAAGGCUUUGACGGGUAGCCGGCCUGAGAGGGUGACCGGCCACAUUGGGACUGAGAUACGGCCCAGACUCCUACGGGAGGCAGCAGUGGGGAAUAUUGCACAAUGGGCGGAAGCCUGAUGCAGCAACGCCGCGUGCGGGAUGACGGCCUUCGGGUUGUAAACCGCUUUCGCCUGUGACGAAGCGUGAGUGACGGUAAUGGGUAAAGAAGCACCGGCUAACUACGUG
rnacentral:rRNA from 1 species